rnacentral:rRNA from 1 species
AAUGAACGCUGGCGGCAGGCCUAUCACAUGCAAGUCGAACGGAUCCUUCGGGAUUAGUGGCGGACGGGUGAGUAACGCGUGGGAACAUACCCUUUGGUACGGAAUAGCCUCGGGAAACUGGGAGUAAUACCGUAUGUGGUCGAGAGACGAAAGAUUUAUCGCCAAAGGAUUGGCCCGCGUUGGAUUAGGUAGUUGGUGGGGUAAUGGCCUACCAAGCCGACGAUCCAUAGCUGGUUUGAGAGGAUGAUCAGCCACACUGGGACUGAGACACGGCCCAGACUCCUACGGGAGGCAGCAGUGGGGAAUCUUAGACAAUGGGGGAAACCCUGAUCUAGCCAUGCCGCGUGAUCGACGAAGGCCUUAGGGUUGUAAAGAUCUUUCAGGUGGGAAGAUAAUGACUGUACCACCAGAAGAAGCCCCGGCUAACUCCGUGCCAGCCGCCGCGGUAAAAC